rnacentral:rRNA from 1 species
AAGGCGAGGCCGAAAGGCGUAGUCGAUGGGAAACAGGUUAAUAUUCCUGUACUUGGUGUUACUGCGAAGGGGGGACGGAGAAGGCUAUGUUGGCCGGGCGACGGUUGUCCCGGUUUAAGCGUGUAGGUGUGUGUUCCAGGUAAAUCCGGUUCACUUUAACACUGAGGCGUGAUGACGAGGCACUACGGUGCUGAAGCAACAAAUGCCCUGCUUCCAGGAAAAGCCUCUAAGCAUCAGGUAACAUCAAAUCGUACCCCAAACCGACACAGGUGGUCAGGUAGAGAAUAC